AUUGAACGCUGGCGGCAGGCCUAACACAUGCAAGUCGAGCGGAUGAAGGGAGCUUGCUCCUGGAUUCAGCGGCGGACGGGUGAGUAAUGCCUAGGAAUCUGCCUGGUAGUGGGGGAUAACGUCCGGAAACGGGCGCUAAUACCGCAUACGUCCUGAGGGAGAAAGUGGGGGAUCUUCGGACCUCACGCUAUCAGAUGAGCCUAGGUCGGAUUAGCUAGUUGGUGUGGUAAAGGCCUACCAAGGCGACGAUCCGUAACUGGUCUGAGAGGAUGAUUAGUCACACUGGAAGUGAGACACGGUCCAGACUCCUACGGGAGGCAGCAGUGGGGAAUAUUGGACAAUGGGCGAAAGCCUGAUCCAGCCAUGCCGCGUGUGUGAAGAAGGUCUUCGGAUUGUAAAGCACUUUAAGUUGGGAGGAAGGGCAGUAAGUUAAUACCUUGCUGUUUUGACGUUACCAACAGAAUAAGCACCGGCUAACUUCGUG
rnacentral:rRNA from 1 species